GACGAACGCUGGCGGCGUGCUUAACACAUGCAAGUCGAACGGAAAGGCCCUGCUUUUGUGGGGUGCUCGAGUGGCGAACGGGUGAGUAACACGUGAGUAACCUGCCCUUGACUUUGGGAUAACUUCAGGAAACUGGGGCUAAUACCGGAUAGGAGCUCCUGCUGCAUGGUGGGGGUUGGAAAGUUUCGGCGGUUGGGGAUGGACUCGCGGCUUAUCAGCUUGUUGGUGGGGUAGUGGCUUACCAAGGCUUUGACGGGUAGCCGGCCUGAGGGGGUGACCGGCAACGUUGGGAAGGGGAUGCGGCCCAGUCUCCUGGGGGGGGCAGGAGGGGGGAAUUUUGCAAAAUGGGCGGAAGGCUUGUGAAGCACCGCCGGGGGGGGGAUGACGGCCUUCGGGUUGGAAACCGUUUUCCCCUGGGGCGAAGGGUAGGUGGCGGAAAGGGGUAAAGAAGACCCGGCUAACUACG
rnacentral:rRNA from 1 species